UGGAGCCUGCGGUUUAAUUGGACUCAACGCCGGGCAGCUCACCGGAUAAGACAGCUGGAUGAUAGCCGGGCUGAAGACUCUGCUUGACUAGCUGAGAGGAGGUGCAUGGCCGUCGUCAGUUCGUACUGUGAAGCAUCCUGUUAAGUCAGGCAACGAGCGAGACCCACGCCAACAGUUGCCAGCAUGUCCUCCGGGAUGAUGGGGACACUGUUGGGACCGCCUCUGCUAAAGAGGAGGAAGGAAUGGGCAACGGUAGGUCAGCAUGCCCCGAAUUAUCCGGGCUACACGCGGGCUACAAUGGUCAGGACAAUGGGUAUCGACACCGAAAGGUGAAGGCAAUCUCCUAAACCCAUCCUUAGUUCGGAUUGUGGGCUGCAACUCGCCCACAUGAAGCUGGAAUCUGUAGUAAUCGUGUUUCAAAAUAGCACGGUGAAUAUGUCCCUGCUCCUU
rnacentral:rRNA from 1 species